UCGUUAUGUUGGUGUAUAUCUGGUUUAUAUUAUCGUUGAGUAAGUGAGUUUGUGUAGUUUUAUUUAAGCCAAGUCUAUGUGCUGCUUAUGAAAGUAUUCAUGCGUUACAUUUAUAAGGUUUUGGUUGUAAUACUAAAAUAUUUAGGACUUAAAAGUAAUGUUCAAUAAGUUUGUGAGUGUGAAGUAAGUUUAGCUCAUGUACACACCGC
rnacentral:rRNA from 1 species